GGAGCAUCUGUCACUGCUGUUGAGAUGCUUCUUGUCCUUACUUUAAUUGAAAAUCUUUUCUUCAGCUGCGUUGGUGCUAAUUCAAGUGGAAGCUGUAUCAUGAAUAAGAGAGAGGCCCUUCUCAAGUUCAAGCAUGACCUCGUAGAUCCUUCAAACCGGUUGAUGUCAUGGAUUGGAGAAGAUUUCUGCACAUGGAAGGGAGUUAGCUGCAACAACCUAACUGGCC
rnacentral:misc_RNA from 1 species